GUACUUACUUUUGCAGCACAUAUACUAAAAUUGGAACAAUACAGAGAAGAUUAGCGUGGUCCCUACAGAGGAUAACAUGGGAAUUCAUGAAGUGUUUGAUAUUUAA
ensembl:snRNA U6 U6 spliceosomal RNA